GCUCCAGGGGUGCAAUUGGUUAGCAUACAGCACUUACAAUGCUGAGAUUGUGAGUUCAAACCUCACCUGGAGCA